rnacentral:rRNA from 1 species
UGGGGAAUAUUGCACAAUGGACGGAAGUCUGAUGCAGCAACGCCGCGUGCGGGAUGACGGCCUUCGGGUUGUAAACCGCUUUUUCUCAUGACGAAGUUUUUUGACGGUAGUGGGGGAAGAAGCACCGGCUAACUACGUGCCAGCAGCCGCGGUGAUACGUAGGGUGCGAGCGUUGUCCGGCAUUAUUGGGCGUAAAGAGCUUGUAGGCGGUUUGUCGCGUCGAUAGUGCAAACUCAGUGCUUAACGCUGAGCCUGCUGUUGAUACGGGCAGACUAGAGGAAGGUAGGGGAGAAUGGAAUUCCCGGUGGAAAGGUGGAAUGCGCAGAUAUCGGGAGGAACACCGGUGGCGAAGGCGGUUCUCUGGGCCUUUCCUGACGCUGAGAAGCGAAAGCGUGGGGAGCGAACAGG